ACCACCUACAAAGGCAUGUCUGUGGUUCCCUGUCUUUGGACAUCUAAGAACUGGAGGUAAAGAAAUGUGGACUUGGAGAAGUCUGGAGCCAGCUUGCUCCCUGCAGGCUCAAGAUCAACCAUCCCACAUAG
ensembl:snoRNA small nucleolar RNA SNORA38